AACACACUAUGGAAGAACUGCUGCUUGGAGAGGACUGUAUCUAUCUCUUUUAUGAGUGAAGCUGCAUGAAGGAGGCAAACUUUGCAAAAAAACAGCUGAAUAUUUGGAUGAAAAGUGAGGGAGACACUGACAGAGAGAUUGAAUGGCACCGCCACCACCAGAGGAAUCACUGGAAAAGGAAGCAGGAGGACACUUGGGUACAAGGGAAAUGAUAAGAAAAGUAUAAAGCUGCAGGAGCAGAAUGUUACCUCCGUUUCUGUCCUCCUCUUUGUUCUUAUAGCCCAGUUGUCUUCCUCUUGACCCUGUCUUUGCAUUGCAUGGGAAAUAGUACAACUUUGAGUCAUCCCCACCUGGGCUCAGAUGAGAUAGCUGACAUUGACUAGAAGUACAACCUUGGCCAUAUUAUGUAAUAUCUCUGAGCCUAUGGAUAACGGUAUGGUUGUCCCUGGAGUCUGGGAUAACUAGGACAAUGCCAGGCACGUAGGUUCCAACCAUAUAGACCAUCUAAUCUGAUGAAAGAGAUACCCCUACUGAAAUGCACUGAAUAUUUUUGAACACCUACUAUUUCUAAGAGGAUAUGAUUUGAAAGCCAGGAUAGGAAGAUUUGAUGCAAAUUUGAUUGUUGCAUGGGGCCUUGAAUAAUAUCCUGGAAAAGCAUAUGCCUUUGAUCCUGGGUUAUGAUUUCAAUUAGAUUUUUCCUACUAUGUCAAAUGGUGAUAUAAAGUCAAAUAAAACUUUAUAACAUGAAUUAAAAGUUGCUACUUUCCACCUCUACUCAUUUUUCAUGUGACUUCAGAGGAACUAUUAGAAGACCAUGUGACAAACUGAUCCCCUACUUUCUUAAUAAUAAGAAGAAGAGUAAUGGUUGUAGACUCUAAAGACUGCAUCCUACAUGGCCUAAGUUAACUGAUAUAUGUUAUUUCAUUUAGUCCUUACUACACAACUGUGACCUCAUUGUUAUUUUUAGCCUCACUUUACAUAAAGGGGUUUUGAAUCUUACAGACAUUGGAUAACUUGACGAAGGCUACACAGUUAUCCAAUGGCUGAGUGGGGAGUCAAACUCAGGAACAUGAAAUCUGUCUUGACCAGUCUUCAAGCCCAGAUGCUCUACCACCUGCUUUCCACUCCUAGAUGGUCCACCUCUGUCUGAUUUUGCUGUUUGUUUCACUGGGAAAACCUGCUGCCGUGAAGCAAGUCACUGUCUUUCAGAGGGCAGAAAGGGAGCUCUUAAAUUGCUUCUAGUAGACUUAACAGAAACAUGGGCUGUUUGUAAAACAGUGAUUCUCAACUUUGGCUGCAGAGUAGAAGUACUUAGGGAUCUUUAAUAUUGGUUUCAAAGUUUCGCCCCAGGGUCCUGAUUUACUGGCCCCUCCUAGGUAUGAGAAGUGUCAAUUCCUUCCAGUGAUUCUAUUUGGAAAGUACUGCUCUACAGCUUUAGGCCUCACUCACUCUCCUUUCUGACUGCAUAGCCUAGUGGAAUCCUGUGGUCCUGGUCCCGAACUGGAGAUACAUGGCAUUUGAGUAGUCUAAAAAUUCUAGGUUUGGAAAGGAUGAGAAAAUGAUGGUGCUGCUGCUGAUGAUGUAACACUUAAUGAAAGUUGCUCAAUGCUUGUCAUUUACAUAUAUUUGAACAUAUUAUUAAGUUUUGUUACCCUUUAUAUUUAUUCAAAAUGAAGGGGUUAGAAAAUUGAAAUUAUUUGACCCAAAUCCAAGCCAGGUAUGUCACAACAUUGUGGGUGACUUUAAAUAUGUGCUUUUAAUUGCAAGAGUAAAGUCAUGAGGUAUGAAAGGAUGGUUAAGUUUGAGGCUAUUAAUGAUUGUUGCAUGACUGAGGUACAAUUUUAUGCAAGAGGUUACUAUAUUAUAAUGAUCAGUUAGUGGGUGACAGAGUGAAGUGGCACGAAGUGGUGGGUUUUAGUUUCAGUCAACUCUCUUUGGAGGAAUGUCAGUUACCACAAAAGAAAUCUGCUCUUAGGUGCUACAAGCCAAAUAUAUUAGAGCUUGCAGGAGAAUUAUUCGAAGGAGAAGAACCAAGAUCUCAGCCACAGGACAGAGAUCAGAGUUCAGGAAGGAAGGCUUAAGGGGGAGUGCCAGACAGGCUAGAGGGUCAACUUUGACAAAAGAGACACCGUAGGUAUCUGAAGGUCAAGGAGAAGAAUUUGUUUCUAAAAUAAAAGAGUGGCAAGGAAAUCAAAGAGCUCUCAAGGAUCUCCGGCUCUUUAUGGACUUCCUCUGAAUAUCAUCUCUGUACUUGGGUUUGCUCCUGUGUUAAAGUCAAACAACAAAAGACUAAGAGGUAAGAUGAGG
rnacentral:lncRNA from 1 species